AGUAUUUUUUAUAGCACCGACUGAGCGACAUGAUACAUUUCAGUGCUUCUUGCUUGAAGUAAGUUGUUGAUCAAUAUGCCCAGCGGGUGCGAUGAAUAUGCACGAGGCGUCCGCCGCGGCAGCCCGGUAAUUGCCGGUCGUCAGGGGUGGCAGGCACGGUAAUUUGCAUCUUGGGGAUCCUGCAAUCAGCGUUCUAUUCAUUAGCACGCCAGCCGCUUCAUCUGCUGGCCACUCAAAGCUGCCAAUCUCCCCUCGGCAGCCAAAGCAUUUGAAAAAAACAGAAUGGAAAAGUUUCAAUUACAAGCUGCGGGCUAGUGGUGUAACAAGGCUUAAACCCUAUAUUUAGGCUGUUUUAUGCAGGGGAACAGGACAGUGGCUACGACGUCUUUGCCCGUCUGCAGUGGGCCUUCACCGCUUCCAUCGAAAUAGCGGGGGGAAGGGUUACAUGAAAGAAAGCCUAUUAUACCUCUCAUUGCAGAAGGAAGGGAGUUCCUUGUGGUUGAAGCAGAGGGGUCUCAGGAGAUGUGAGUGCCAAUAGAGUGCACGUGUGUGUAUAUGUAUGUGUGUGUGUUUGCAGUAGCGCUGUGAAUUUUCUAUUGUUUUACAGUGACAUAGUUGUUGUUUCCUGCAUCAUAAAUCUACAUGUUCACACACACACACAUGCAUGCACACCCACACAUCCACACACACAAACACACACACACAAUAUAUAAUUUAUUAACAAAAACAUGCUUCAUAAUUAUGCAUAAAAUCCACAAACAUGCAUGAUAUGAAAACACAGAAAUAAUACAUAUACAGAUGCUACUAAUAAUUAAUAAUACACCAGUACAUUUGCAAAUAAAGAGGCACACACACACACACACUCCUCUCUGCGCACACAGCUCCUUUGCCCUGCCAUUGUCUUACAGAGGAAGCCUGCGAGUGGAGGAGGAGGUCGGAUCUUGUCCUCAGCUGAAGGAGAACGCAGGGCAGAGGGGGCCGAUGGAGACAAAACACCCGGAUGGAAGGAUGAGGCCGAGAGGAGGCGAAGGAGGAAGAGGAAAAAGAGGAGGAGGCAAGAUGUUAUUUCUAAAAAUUCUGAUCUUUACUGACCGGGAGUUUGACCAGCUAUAAGUAAAGCAUGAACAUAAACCAUGGGUUGAGAAGCACAUAAGGUCCUGGAGAAGGUCCCCCGGAGGUCUCUGGUUGAAUAAGAAAUAUUUCAGUUUCACUGUUAAUUUUGAAAAACUUGUAUCAAGCAAAAUUAGGUUGUACAGGACAUUAAAAAGAAAAUAAUUUAAAAACCUUGAAUGUCAUUUACAUUUUACAUAGCUCUGUAAUGUCUCUCUCACACACAACACACACACUGAUCGAGCAUGUAAGACUCUGAUGGUUUUAUAAUAGUAUCUGCUAAAUGGAUAGAAAUACUUUGCAAUUUAACUGAUUAAAGCCACCACAUCAAUCUAUGUGUGUGUGUGUGUGUGUGAUUGAUACAUCAUUUAUAUGGUCAUAAUUAACUGACAGCUACCAUGCUUGAUAUGUGAAGGCUGAAACAAAACAGACAGUUUUUAAUUAAAAGAAUAUUAGAUUUUUGUGGAAGGUUUUAGUGCCUAAAAAGUGCAAAUGAUCUUGUUACCCUUGUUAUCUGAAUACCAGGUCUGAAUAGGAAGAGGUUAAACACUGAACUCCCAGG